rnacentral:rRNA from 1 species
UGCAGUCGAACGGUAACAGCACUUCGGUGGCUGACGAGUGGCGCACGGGUGAGUAACGCGUAUGCAACCUACCUUUCACAGUGGGAUAGCCCAGAGAAAUUUGGAUUAAUACCGCAUAGUAUGCCUGAGGGACAUCCCUUGGGUAUUAAACAUUUAUGGGUGAGAGAUGGGCAUGCGUUCUAUUAGUUAGUUGGAGUGGUAACGGCACCCCAAGACAGCGAUAGAUAGGGGCCCUGAGAGGGGGAUCCCCCACACUGGUACUGAGACACGGACCAGACUCCUACGGGAGGCAGCAGUGAGGAAUAUUGGACAAUGGGCGCAAGCCUGAUCCAGCCAUGCCGCGUGCAGGAAGACGGCCCUAUGGGUUGUAAACUGCUUUUAUACAGGAAGAAACACUCCCUCGUGAGGGAGCUUGACGGUACUGUAAGAAUAAGGAUCGGCUAACUCCGUGCCAGCAGCCGCGGUAAUACGGAGGAUCCAAGCGUUAUCCGGAAUCAUUGGGUUUAAAGGGUCCGUAGGUGGACGAUUAAGUCAGAGGUGAAAUCCUGCAGCUCAACUGUAGAAUUGCCUUUGAAACUGGUUGUCUUGAAUCAUUGUGAAGUGGUUAGAAUAUGUGGUGUAGCGGUGAAAUGCAUAGAUAUCACAUAGAAUACCGAUUGCGAAGGCAGAUCACUAACAAUGUAUUGACACUGAUGGACGAAAGCGUGGGGAGCGAACAGGAUUAGAUACCCUGGUAGUCCACGCCGUAAACGAUGGAUACUAGCUGUCCGGACUUCGGUCUGGGUGGCUAAGCGAAAGUGAUAAGUAUCCCACCUGGGGAGUACGUUCGCAAGAAUGAAACUCAAAGGAAUUGACGGGGGCCCGCACAAGCGGUGGAGCAUGUGGUUUAAUUCGAUGAUACGCGAGGAACCUUACCAGGGCUUAAAUGUAGAUUGACAGGUUUAGAGAUAGACUUUCCUUCGGGCAAUUUACAAGGUGCUGCAUGGUUGUCGUCAGCUCGUGCCGUGAGGUGUCAGGUUAAGUCCUAUAACGAGCGCAACCCCUGUUGUUAGUUGCCAGCGAGUCAUGUCGGGAACUCUAGCAAGACUGCCAGUGCAACUUGUGAGGAAGGUGGGGAUGACGUCAAAUCAUCACGGCCCUUACGUCCUGGGCUACACACGUGCUACAAUGGUAGGGAC